CAGUAGCCACGGGAACACGGAGGGUGCAAGCGUUAAUCGGAAUUACUGGGCGUAAAGCGCACGCAGGCGGUCUGACAAGUCAGAUGUGAAAUCCCCGGGCUUAACCUGGGAACUGCAUUUGAAACUGUCAGGCUGGAGUCUUGUAGAGGGGGGUAGAAUUCCAGGUGUAGCGGUGAAAUGCGUAGAGAUCUGGAGGAAUACCGGUGGCGAAGGCGGCCCCCUGGACAAAGACUGACGCUCAGGUGCGAAAGCGUGGGGAGCAAACAGGAUUAGAGACCCGAGUAGUCCCUGUCUCUUAUAC
rnacentral:rRNA from 1 species